rnacentral:rRNA from 1 species
UGGGGAAUUUUGCACAAUGGGGGAAACCCUGAUGCAGCGAUGCCGCGUGAUUUAGAAGGCCUUCGGGUUGUAAAAAUCUUUUCUAUGGGAAGAAAAUGACAGUACCAUAGGAAUAAGGACCGGCUAAUUACGUGCCAGCAGCCGCGGUAAUACGUAAGGUCCGAGCGUUGUCCGGAAUCAUUGGGCGUAAAGGGUACGUAGGCGGGUAAGCAAGUUAGAAGUGAAAUCCUAUAGCUCAACUAUAGUAAGCUUUUAAAACUGCUCAUCUUGAGGUAUGGAAGGGAAAGUGGAAUUCCUAGUGUAGCGGUGAAAUGCGCAGAUAUUAGGAGGAAUACCGGUGGCGAAGGCGACUUUCUGGCCAUAACCUGACGCUGAGGUACGAAAGCGUGGGUAGCAAACAGG